UUUAUUUUGUGAUAAAGCAGGUUCCAGAGC
rnacentral:piRNA from 1 species